rnacentral:rRNA from 1 species
CUACGGGUGGCAGCCGUGAGGAAUAUUGGUUAAUGGGCGCGAGCCUGAACCAGCCAAGUCGCGUGAGGGAAGACGGUCCUAUGGAUUGUAAACCUCUUUUGUCGGGGAGCAAAAGACGCCACGCGUGGCGCUCCGAGAGUACCCGAAGAAAAAGCAUCGGCUAACUCCGUGCCAGCAGCCGCGGUAAUACGGAGGAUGCGAGUGUUAUCCGGAUUUAUUGGGUUUAAAGGGUGCGCAGGCGGAAGAUUAAGUCAGCGGUAAAAUUGAGAGGCUCAACCUCUUCGAGCCGUUGAAACUGGUUUUCUUGAGUGAGCGAGAAGUAUGCGGAAUGCGUGGUGUAGCGGUGAAAUGCAUAGAUAUCACGCAGAACUCCGAUUGCGAAGGCAGCAUACCGGCGCUCAACUGACGCUCAUGCACGAAAGUGUGGGUAUCGAACAGGAGUAGAUACCCGAGUAGUC